AACUGAUUAAAUACCUGAGAUAAUGCUUGGCAAUACUGUUUACCAUGUCAAGCAAGAGCCGAAUAGGAAAAGGUCAUCCCAUGGCACUUCAUGGUCAAGGUAAAGAAAAGAAUUUGUUCAGAAAGGAACCUCUCUAUAAGAGAAAGUAGGGGCAUUAUGGGAAAUUCACUCCAUCAAACUGAUAAAAGUCCCAUCCCACCAUCUCCCCUUCAAGUGAGUACUCAAGCAGCAACUACAACAUCAUAGCACAGCAGCCAUUCAACCCCCUCCCUCCUUUUCUCUCUCUACCACCCAAGAGGGGAGAAGAAACCCAGAGGAGAAAAUUAAAAGAAUCUCCACCUUCCAAGAAGUCCAUCUCCAAUCCCCCUAUCUUUCUUCCCGAUGGCCCAGCUGGAUCAGGGGUAAUGUGAGGGAAGGAAAACC
rnacentral:lncRNA from 1 species